rnacentral:rRNA from 1 species
AGUGAACGCUGGCGGUAGGCCUAACACAUGCAAGUCGAACGGCAGCACAGGAGAGCUUGCUCUCUGGGUGGCGAGUGGCGGACGGGUGAGGAAUACAUCGGAAUCUACUCUGUCGUGGGGGAUAACGUAGGGAAACUUACGCUAAUACCGCAUACGACCUACGGGUGAAAGCAGGGGACCUUCGGGCCUUGCGCGAUUGAAUGAGCCGAUGUCGGAUUAGCUAGUUGGCGGGGUAAGGCCCACCAAGGCGACGAUCCGUAGCUGGUCUGAGAGGAUGAUCAGCCACACUGGAACUGAGACACGGUCCAGACUCCUACGGGAGGCAGCAGUGGGGAAUAUUGGACAAUGGGCGCAAGCCUGAUCCAGCCAUACCGCGUGGGUGAAGAAGGCCUUCGGGUUGUAAAGCCCUUUUGUUGGGAAAGAAAUUCAGCUGGCUAAUACCCGGUUGGGAUGACGGUACCCAAAGAAUAAGCAUCGGCUAACUUCGUGCCAGCCGCCGCCGUAA